UACGAAGGGGGCUAGCGUUGUUCGGAAUUACUGGGCGUAAAGCGCACGUAGGCGGAUUGCUAAGUCAGGGGUGAAAUCCUGGAGCUCAACUCCAGAACUGCCUUUGAUACUGCAAAUCUCGAGUCCGGAAGAGGUGAGUGGAAUUCCUAGUGUAGAGGUGAAAUUCGUAGAUAUUAGGAAGAACACCAGUGGCGAAGGCGGCUCACUGGUCCGGUACUGACGCUGAGGUGCGAAAGCGUGGGGAGCAAACAGG
rnacentral:rRNA from 1 species